UUGCAUCAACUAUUCAGCAGACACAAGAGAACCAGCCGGCAUACUAAUAACACCUGCUUACACAACCACACCUUGAGUUUAUUAUCAUUAUUGUUACUAUGCUAUUAUCAACACUGGGGCAUAUUCUUUGUUUUACCAUAAUACUUUUUUUUCUCUCUUUUUCUAGUAUAUAAUUUUCUUUCCAUUGAGGUAUUCAGUAUAUGUUUUUUUGUUUUAUUUCAUUUUUACGUUAUUUUAUCGACUCCGGCACCUCUAAUAUAGACAUGCGAGUAACUCAUUCUAAGCGACGGUUGUGUUUCUGGUUAUGUUGCACGAUGUAAAUUUUGCAGGAUUCAAAGUUUAUUCUUCCCUCACAAGAAUCAAUGGCGGGUCGAGGUGUUUAGUUGUCGCCGCUUAUAUAAGAAAGAUGCAGUAAGUAAGAAACGCCUUUUUAAACUCGUGUGUAUAAGUUACCCGCCUCAUGCGCAGAGCCUUCCAAUUCAUUCAGCGGCAGGAAUACCUCUUUGGACAACUGGUUAAUCAAAGACUGGUUCUCCAAUCUAGCCGGUCGCGUGUUCGAUCCCCGUCGCUGGUCAAACCCUCUCCGGGCCUGAAUUAAUUCCUAGUGUGUUUUGUGACAGGCUGAGGUCGUGUAGACGUGUCGUAAAGUGAAAAUUCAGUGAGGUAAAGUGAAAAUUCAUUGUCGUAAAGUGAAAAUUCAUUGUCGUAAAGUGAAAAUUCAUUGUCGUAAAGUGAAAAUUCAGUGAGGUAAAGUGAAAAUUCAUUGUCGUAAAGUGAAAAUUCAGUGAGGUAAAGUGAAAAUUCAUUGUCGUAAAGUGAAAAUUCAUUGUCGUAAAGUGAAAAUUCAUUGUCGUAAAGUGAAAAUUCAUUGUCGUAAAGUGAAAAUUCAGUGAGGUAAAGGGAAAAUUCAUUGUCGUAAAGUGAAAAUUCAGCGGCGUUACAAGUUUAACAAGAGGCAACCCUAAAUUAGUAUCUUGUGUUGGUAUUGAGGUUUAUUAACUCCAAAACUCACCCCAGUUAACAUACAAUAACUCCAUCAGCCCAGGUCUCAAAAUCAAGCUCAACCAACCAUUAAUUGUGCUCUGAAAUCCUUUUUACACUAAGCAUUUACAUCUAUUCCUUUAUUCACCCAUAAUCCUCUUAGGCUAACUCCAUCAACCCAGGUCUCAAAAUCAAGCUCAACCAACCAUUAAUUGUGCUCUGAAAUCCUUUUUACUCUAAGCAUUUACAUCUAUUCCUUUAUUCACCCAUAAUUCUCUUAGGCUAUGUAGGUAACUCUUAGGACUCACGCUGAAGGGGCUAUUACACUGGUCAAAUUUUCCGUGGAUCUUCAGUCAAACCACGAUUUCCGCUCGCGUGGUUCACAUUUGUUUCUUAUUAUUGCUGAUGAUGAUGAUGGUGAGUAAUACCGUCGUCCUUCAGUGAAAUCUACCGUUGCUUUGGAAGAUCGUGGACACGUCAGAAAACCACGGAAAUAGGAGAACCACACCAGCGGAAAUCGUGGUUUGACUGAAGAUUUGACUUUUGGGCACUAUUCUAUUCAGGAGCAGUAAGUAGCGGGCUUUUUUUUCAUUUUUUUUUUUAGGCUCUUGCACUGCCGCCUCUACUGUAAAAAAAAGAUCCACGGAACAUUUGCCCAGUGUAACAGCCCCUUUAUAUGAGAGGGGAAAUUAACAUCUUCCUUACACAUAUAUCCACGUUAUAAUAAAUGUUCACUUCUUCCAUUCCACACUCCCGCAUCCCUCUACUUCAGGUCCCUCUUCUUCCUUAUUUUCUUAAAGACAUCUGGUUAUUUCCUGUUCAUUUUAGUUCCCAUUCUUCUCAUACUUUUUCUUUUUGUUAUUAUUUUCUUCCUUUUCCGCUAUCUUUUUUUUAUUUUUCGGUAUUUUUCUUCCUUUUUCCUUUUCUUUCGUUCUUUUUCCCUUUCUUUCCUUCUUUCUUCUUUUCUU